GUAACACGUAUCCAACCUACCGAUAACUCCGGAAUAGCCUUUCGAAGAAAGAUUAAUACCGGAUAGCAUACGAAUAUCGCAUGAUAUUUUUAUUAAAGAAUUUCGGUUAUCGAUGGGGAUGCGUUCCAUUAGUUUGUUGGCGGGGUAACGGCCCACCAAGACUACGAUGGAUAGGGGUUCUGAGAGGAAGGUCCCCCACAUUGGAACUGAGACACGGUCCAAACUCCUACGGGAGGCAGCAUG
rnacentral:rRNA from 1 species